UUAUACCCCUUAGAUCAUGGCACUUGGAAUGAGCUAUGGUUCAAAGUUCCGGCGCUUAAGGAUCGUUCUUCGGCCUAUCAGUUAGUAUUGGGUGUAAAGUACCUACUAGCCUAUGACGGGUAUGGGCCUUGAGAGAGGGAGCCCAGAUUUGGAUUCUGAGACACGAAUCCAGGCCCUACGGUGCGCAGCAGUCGCGAAAACUUCACACUGGGGGCAACCCCGAUGAGGGAAUUCCUAGUGCUAGCUCUUUUUGAGUUAGCUUUUCUUUAGCGUAGAUAACUAAAGGAAUAAGGGCUGGGUAAGACGGGUGCCAGCCGCCGCGGUAAUACCUGCAGCCCAAGUGGUGGCCGAUAGUAUUGAGUCUAAAACGUUCGUAGCCGGUCUGAUAAAUCUUUGGGUAAAUCGGGAAGCUUAACUUUCCGACUUCCGAGGAGACUGUCAGACUUGGGACCGGGAGAGGCUAGAGGUACUUCUGGGGUAGGGGUAAAAUCCUGUAAUCCUAGAAGGACCACCGGUGGCGAAGGCGUCUAGCUAGAACGGAUCCGACGGUGAGGGACGAAGCCCUGGGGCGCAAACGGGAUUAGAUACCCCGGUAGUCCAGGGUGUAACGCUGCAGACUUGGUGU
rnacentral:rRNA from 1 species